AACGAACGCUGGCGGCAUGCCUAACACAUGCAAGUCGAGCGAGACCUUCGGGUCUAGUGGCGCACGGGUGCGUAACGCGUGGGAAUCUGCCCUUGGGUUCGGAAUAACAGUUAGAAAUGACUGCUAAUACCGGAUGAUGACGUAGGUCCAAAGAUUUAUCGCCCAAGGAUGAGCCCGCGUAAGAUUAGCUUGUUGGUGGAGUAAUGGCCUACCAAGGCGACGAUCUUUAGCUGGUCUGAGAGGAUGAUCAGCCACACUGGGACUGAGACACGGCCCAGACUCCUACGGGAGGCAGCAGUGGGGAAUAUUGGACAAUGGGCGAAAGCCUGAUCCAGCAAUGCCGCGUGAGUGAUGAAGGCCUUAGGGUUGUAAAGCUCUUUUACCAGGGAUGAUAAUGACAGUACCUGGAGAAUAAGCUCCGGCUAACUCCGUGCCAGCCGCCGCUGUAA
rnacentral:rRNA from 1 species